AUGGUUCCGCUGGGUUUUCCGUAUCUGGUGGACAGAUGGGGGACAGAGGAAGGACGACGCAUGGAAGAUUUUAAUGGGCCAGGCCACGCUCCACAGGCCAGAACUCAAACGAGGCCACGCCUCACUGCACAGGAGGCCGGGGAGCAGGGUCUUCGUGCCCAGAGGGGAAGGAACCGGGUUUUAGUACACCGGUCCCUGCCAGGCCUGGCACAGACUGUGACGGGUCAUGACCAUCAUGUCGUGUUAGUCUCUGCACGUACAGUAUUUGUGUCUGGUGCACAUCUGACCAGGCCCACUGGAUGCUGGGCAUGGGACAGAAUGACCUCACGUUCCGACAGGGACAGAGGGGCUUCGUACACGGAGCUGGAUGGUGGAGCCAGAUGAUGGAGCCAGGAUUGGGCAACAACAUACAUUCGAGGCAUCCACCUUUCCUGGUGAGUUCAUCUUGGUUUUGUAUCUGCUGUUCUUUUAUUUCUUCUCCUUAUUCAUAUUUUGACCAUGUUUUAUACCUACCAUCAAAAAAUAGAUGUUCCCAUUGUGGCUCAGUGUGUUACGGACUCAAUUAGUAUCCAUGAGGAUGUGGGUUCAAUCCCUGACCUCGAUCAGUGGGUUAAGGAUCUGGCAUUGCUGUGGUGUAGGCCGGCAGUUGCAGCUCAGAUUCAACCCCUAGCCUGAGAACUUCCAUAUGCCACAAGUGUGGCCCUAAAAAACAGCAAAAAAACAAAAAAACAAAACAAAAAAAGGAUUGUCUCCCAAACAUUAGUUCUUGUGAUUCCUUAGCUCUCAGGGAUGUAGACAUGUCUGCAUUUGAUGGGGUUUUCUUUACCUUCCCUCCAAGUUCAGUACAUGCUUUGUAGUCUUAAUGAAUCACCUUUCGCCGUCUAUGGAGGUUAUUUCCCCCCUAAUUUAAAGAAAGGAUCUGCCAGUGGAACAACCUAAAUGAACUGAAAUGCCCCUGCCGAGUGCGCUUGCCCGGAGGACAGGCUCGUCGUUGAUAGACUUUAAUCAGAUCCCUCUUCUCCGUUCCCAGGAAAUCCUCCUUCAGUGAACUUCUCCUAACCCUGUCUCUGGGGUGUCACCCGGCCGUAAGGCCAGCGGGGGAGUCGUUUUUGGAAGGCCGCAUGGGGAACAGCUUUGGUGAAGUGUCUUUUCCUCUCCAAGAAAGAUCACAGGAAAACCUUUUGCUCAGAAUAAGCAUUUUGGAAGGGUGCUUGGCAGGCUUUGGCCCUUCAGUGGGGGCAGCACCCUCCCGGGGAGCUGGGGUGUCAGCAGCAGCGGGAGCAGCCACCUCAGCCUUGGGGGGCCCAAGCCACUCCUUCUAGCCCCCUCCCCCGUUAAGGAAUGUCCACCUUCCCUUGGGCCCAGGUGUGGGUUUGUCUUUUUC
rnacentral:lncRNA from 1 species